rnacentral:rRNA from 1 species
UACCAGCACCCCGAGUGGUCGGGACGUUUAUUGGGCCUAAAGCAUCCGUAGCCGGUUCUACAAGUCUUCCGUUAAAUCCACCUGCUUAACAGAUGGGCUGCGGAAGAUACUAUAGAGCUAGGAGGCGGGAGGGGCAAGCGGUACUCGAUGGGUAGGGGUAAAAUCCGUUGAUCCAUUGAAGACCACCAGUGGCGAAGGCGGCUUGCCAGAACGCGCUCGACGGUGAGGGAUGAAAGCUGGGGGAGCAAACCGG